UCCCCCGUGGUGCAACUGGCUAGCGCAUCAGACUGUUAAUCUAGAGGUUCUUAGUUUAAUCCUAAGCGGGGAGA